rnacentral:rRNA from 1 species
UACGUAGGGAGCGAGCGUUAUCCGGAAUUAUUGGGCGUAAAGGGUGCGUAGAUGGCAUAGUAAGUCUUUUGUAAAAAUGCUGGGCUCAACCCAGUAGGGCAAAAGAUACUGCAAAGCUAGAGUAUGACAGAGGCAAGUGGAACUACAUGUGUAGCGGUAAAAUGCGUAAAUAUAUGUAAGAACACCAGUGGCGAAGGCGGCUUGCUGGGUCGAUACUGACAUUGAGGCACGAAAGCGUGG